rnacentral:misc_RNA from 1 species
CUGUAAUCUUCUGUAUAUAUGCAUACAUUAUGUCAUAAUAUUUAUCAAACAUAAAUUUUAGUCAAGAUUAAAUUCUAUUAGAAAACAUGAAAGCAGCAACUUAUGCGAGCAAGCAUUUGAUUAAAACAAAACUGGCUGUUCUGCUUAUUUAACACGGAGAUAAAAUUAUUAAAGGUCUAAUGUUGUCAUCAGCAAUAAAAUGGAACACCGGAUUGAACACUCAUGCACUUUCCCCCGCUUUUUUUCGAGCCUCCUCCCGCAUUACUGCUUUGA